rnacentral:rRNA from 1 species
CCUACGGGAGGCAGCAGUGAGGAAUAUUGGUCAAUGGACGAGAGUCUGAACCAGCCACGUAGCGUGAAGGAUGACUGCCCUAUGGGUUGUAAACUUCUUUUAUAUGGGAAUAAAAUGUUCCGCGUUUGGGAUUUUUUAUGUACCCUAUGAAUAAGGAUCGGCUAACUCCGUGCCAGCAGCCGCGGUAAUACGGAGGGUCCGAUCGUUAUCCGGAUUUAUUUGGCUUAAAGGGAACGUAGGUUGAUUGUUCAGUCAGUUGUGAAAGUUUGCGGCUCAACCGUAAAAUUGCAGUUGAAACUGGCAGUCUUGAGUACAGUAGAGGUGGGCGGAAUUCGUGGUGUAGCGGUGAAAUGCUUAGAUAUCACGAAGAACUCCGAUUGCGAAGGCAGUUCACUGGACUGCAACUGACACUGAGGCUCGAAAGUGUGGGUAUCAAACAGGAUUAGAUACCCGAGUAGUC